rnacentral:lncRNA from 1 species
UUGUAAAGUGGAUUCUGGAUUGAAGACAGUUGUUGAGGCAAGAAAAUUUGUCCCGGGAUCAAAGCUUUGUAUCCAGCCUGAUAUCAAUCCCAAUGCUCACAAGAGUAAAAGCUCUCGCAAAGAGAGGAGUCGAGUCCAGCCACCUCUCCUCCCUGGCCUUCCUGACGAUCUUGCCAUUGCAUGUCUGAUUCGAGUUCCUCAUGCUGAACACAGAAAACUCCGCCUAGUUUGUAAGAAAUGGUAUCACCUUUUGGCUGGUAACUUCUUUUUUUCUCUUAGGAAAAGUCUUGGAAUGGCAGAAGAGUGGGUUUAUGUCUUGAAAAGAGAUCGUGAUGGAAAGAUAUCAUGGAAUGCCUUCGAUCCUAUCCAUCAGCUAUGGCAGCCACUUCCUCCUGUUCCAAGGGAGUACUCUGAGGCACUUGGUUUUGGUUGUGCCGUUCUAAGUGGCUUCCACCUGUACUUGUUUGGGGGAAAGGAUCCACUAAGGGGGUCAAUGAGACGAGUUGUUUUCUAUAGUGCUCGGACAAACAAGUGGCACAGAGCACCAGGUAUGCUUCGAAAACGUCAUUUCUUUGGUUCCUGUGUAAUAAAUAACCGCCUUUAUGUGGCUGGCGGAGAAUGUGAUGGAAUUCAUAGGACUUUACGCUCUGCUGAAGUUUAUGAUCCUAACAAGAACAGAUGGAGUUUUGUUCAAGAUAUGAGCACUGCUAUGGUACCUUUCAUUGGGGUAGUUUACGAUGGAAAGUGGUUUGUAAAAGGUCUGGGGUCUCAUCGCGAAGUUAUGAGCGAAGCAUACGAUCCUGAAUCUAAUUCCUGGUCUGCUGUUAGUAAUGGGAUGGUUUCUGGUUGGCGCAACCCUAGUAUCUCUUUAAAUGGAAAGCUCUAUGCCCUGGAUUGCCGUGAUGGAUGUAAGCUUAGGGUGUAUGAUGGAGCCACAGAUUCAUGGAAUAAAUUUAUUGAUAGUAAGCUCCAUUUCGGGAGUUCUCGAGCUUUGGAAGCUGCUGGCUUAGUUCCUCUCAAUGGCAAACUUUGUAUCAUUCGCAAUAACAUGAGCGUAAGUCUCGUUGAUGUUUCCAGUCCAGACAAACAGGUCGAAAGCAACCCUCAGCUUUGGGAAAACAUUGCCAGUAGAGGUCAUUUCAGGACUCUCUUUACAAAUAUAUGGUCGAGUAUAGCAGGCCGAAGUAGCUUGAGAAGUCAUAUCGUUCACUGUCAGGUUCUUCAAGCAUGAAAAAGGGGAAUUAUAAUUCUUUUAUCCAUGUUAAAGUUUCCUGCAUUUUUUUUAUUCAAAUCUUUUUUUGUAUACCGACAUUUUGUGGUUCAGCUCAGCACACCUCCUGAAUGGAAAAGCUGAAUAUAUAUUCUUCUGUUACCUUUCAUGAUGUUCUUAUUCUUGCAAUGGCGAUUGAUAUCAACGGUGACCCACCGGGGGAGGGGACUGAUAUCCAACAUUAAGAAUGUUUUGCUUGUGACAGACUCAAUGACCAAGGGUGCUUUCGAGAUAUCGAGUAACACAGCUUGGAUGUUAUCCCAUGGUGCAUUUGCAGGUGAGGUGGUUCACUGUUGAUAUUUUGAGGUAAUUUCUUUACAUUUAUGAAGAGAGCAAGCAGAUACUUGUAAAUCUUAGUCAUUUGGGCUUAGAAUUGGUCUUUUUUGUGAGAACUUUUUAUAUCUUUUUGUAGCAUGUUAGUCUUUGAGAUGUACAAGCAUAUAUUUAUUAGAUAUUUAUAAAGAUGUUUAUGUCUAAUUAUUUCUUAAAUUAAAAUUUUAAUUUAAAUAUUUUAAAAACUAUCCUUUUUUAAGAGAAAAAUGGCUUUCUUCUUAAUAAAUUUAUAUGUUUUUCAAAAGAAUUUUCUCCCACUUUAUUACUUGGAAAUAUUAAUUAGUAUGUGAUAAAAAUAAUAUUUUAUAAUAUAUUUUUUUGAGUUUGAUCAAAUAAAGAAAUAAAUUUUCUUUUAAAACAUAACAAUUAAAUUUAAAAAUUCUAAUAAAUAAAAAAAUUUCUUAAGUGGUUUUUUUAUGAAAAUUAAUUAGCCUUUUAAUUCAUUCUAUGGGUAAACUACAUCCAAGGUUACUAAACUAUUAAUAAGUUUGUAUUUUGGUCGCUUAACUUCAAAAAGUUACAAAAUGGCAACUGAAUUAUUUGAAAACUUCAUUUAAGUCGUUAAACUAUUAAAAUCGUUGCUGCAUGACCUUUUCUGUUUGCACCGUUUACACCAAUCGAAAACUCUCUUUCCCUCUCUUACAAUUUUUUUUCAUGAAAUAACUUUGAACGUUAUGAACCUACGAGUCAAAAUGUAAACAACUUUCUUCACCAAUUUCUUACAUUGACCGUAAGAUUGAUUUAAAUGCAAAUUUUUGAAUAUUUUAACGAUAAUUUUAUGACUUUUUAAACUUGAGUAAUCAAAUAUAAAUUUACUAAGAAAAAAAAAAUCUAACCAGAGUUUCAAUCUCUUGCUCCAUUUAAAGUAAAGAUUAACAAUUAAAGACAUCAUGCAAACUUCAAAGACACUAAAAAUUAUUUAACAUUAAAAUUAAAUUCACCCAAAUUUAAUGCUACUAAUUGAACAAAUAUCUAACAUUAAAUGAAAUCUUAAUUUCUCAUUUCUAUAUUCAGUUUAAUUCAGUCUAAAAUAAAUAUAGGUAUUAAAUUUUAUUCAAAGGCAUUCAUAUUUAUAAAUGAUUAAAUUAAAUCUAUUUUAGGGCUACAAUAUUUAAUAAUUUAAUAUAUUUUAAUUAAAUUUUAAAAUAAACAAUUUAACAUAUAUUUUUAAUAUUUAUAUUAUUAUAAUUUAAUUUUUAUAUAAAAUAAACUAUAUAAUAUAUACAAAUAAGAUAUUUUAAUAUAUUACAUAAUUAAAAAAUAAAUAUGCUCCUGUUGAGCUUGAGUCUCAGUCUAAAUUCAUCCAUAUUUUAUUUGAAUUAAUUUUUUUUCAAAUUUCUUAUUUUUCCCAAAUAUUUUUAUCUAAAUUUUUUUAAGAUAUUGAAACAAUUUUUAUGGCUAAUCCUAUACUUAAAACAAAUUUAACCAGUGUUAUUAAAAUUAGAUCAAAUUGAUCGGUCGAAAUAUCGGUACUUACAAAAAAAAUUAAAUUAAUUUCUUAAUGAAUGGCUAAAAAUUUAAAAAAUACAAAAUUCAAAAAAUAAUUUAUAAUUUUUUAAUUAUUAAUAAAUCGAAAAUUAAUAAUUUAACCAUUCAAUUAUAACUUCAUUUUUAAAAUAUUUCAUUUAACAGAAAGCAACAGAUCUAGCCUGCCAUGUUUGGGACUUUGAGUUUGAGAUGGGAAAAAAUAUAUAUAUUUUUGAUAGCAGAGAGAGGAAAAAUUAUUUAAAAAAAUGAAAAUUUGUUUCUAUUUUAUUGAAAGAAGUACGAGGGAAAUAAAAAUGACAAGAAAAGAAACAAAAGAAGCAAGUAAAGUCGGUUUUCUUUUGUACUUACUAUCACUAAAAAUUUAAUUUUUAAGGUUGAGAAGAAGAUGAUGAGAAUCUGAGUAUUAAAAUCUCUUAAAUUGGGUAUUUUUCGAUCUGGGUUUCUUUAAAGGUGUUAGAUUUAUAAUAGAUUUUGAUUAUUCUCUAUGAAAUCUUAGGUUUUAAAGCAUGGACCAAUCUAUUUCUCAACAGUCAUCUAAUGCUCUUAGAGGGUUUCGAGUUCAAGCUCCAUUGGUAAGUUCCAAAACCUCACCUUCUCCCCCCCCCCCAUUUUUUAGGUGAAACUUAUUGUUUAUUUUAGAGAUAAACAGCUGAUGAAUUUGUUGAAAACCUGGUUUGAAGAUACCCAGAUUGAGAAUUGUAGUUAAUUGAGAAAGUGGGAUUCCAAAGUUUGAGACUUUGAAAGAGCUUAGUGUGCUAUACUAUGGGUUCUUCAUUAUUAUUUUAUUAUUUUUUUGAAGGUUUUAGUUUUUCUGUUUACUGAUUGUGGGAGUUCUGCUAUUUUAUCAUUGUGUUGUUCUUUGGCUAUUGAUUCCAAGAUCAAAUCUUUUUGAACCAAACUACCAUUUCUUGUGUGUUUGUGGUCAUUUGGGAUCUAUGAACAUUUAAAUAGGAACCGAUUUUCCAUUUUGACUUUCUUUUGUAACUUGCAACUUUGCCUUUUGAGAGUGAAUUUGUUGAAGAUUUUUAUUUUAUUUCUGCUUGAAAGAGAAUCGAAUUUGGUCCGAAAUUAUGCUUGGCUUGAAAGAGAAUUAAAAUUUGAGUGAUAUUGAACUUUCUUUAGUUACAACUAUUGUAUUACUUUGUUGGACAUUAAUAAAAUUUAUUUGUUUGUUAGAUGAUACAAAAAAAAAAAAAAAUUAAAAGGAAAUAGUGCUUGGCGGUUUGUUGACUGGCUUUAUUUGUAUACUCUUUAUCUGCUAAUUUGCUACUUGCAUCAUUGAGGAAGAACCAUGGCGGAGCCUGUGUGUAGGUUCCUCAUAGUUUUCUAAGGAUAUAAAUGCAUAUGCAGAUUGUAGCUUUGUUCUUGAUAAACAGUAUCAUUAGCUUAUACUCAGGUUCAAUAUUUAUCAAUAUGUUUUCAAUUGAGUCUUAGCUCGGUUGGCGUUGUUGCUAUUACACAACCUGGAAGACGUGGAUUUGAACACACUUGAGAGUAAUUUUCAGAUGUUCAUUGUUUCUUUCCUAACUGGAAAACUUUUGCAGGUUGAUUCUGUAUCAUGCUAUUGUAAAGUGGAUUCUGGAUUGAAGACAGUUGCUGAGGCAAGAAAAUUUGUCCCAGGGUCGAAGCUUUGUAUUCAGCCUGAUAUCAAUCCCAAUGCACACAAGAGUAAAAACUCUCGCAGAGAGAGGACUCGAGUCCAGCCACCUCUUCUCCCUGGCCUUCCUGAUGAUCUUGCCAUUGCAUGUCUGAUUCGAGUUCCUCGUGCUGAACACCGAAAACUCCGUGUAGUUUGUAAGAG